rnacentral:lncRNA from 1 species
GGAAAUCAAUAAGGUUAACAUCAUGAACUUUCGUUUCAUGCACAGCCAUGGAGGGAGAUUAUAUGUAACUAAGAUAACCGGCCAACAACUAUAUCUGCUACUUAGAGAACUGUGAGGAUUGAAUCCAUCAGAUGAAAGAGCCAAUCUCAAGUUUCUCGGCUCAUUACCAAACUCAGGCCAUUUAUCAUCAAGAAGUUUCCAAGACGGGGAAUCCGCCGGAUGAGACAUCUG